AAGUCGAGCGCGCCUUUCGGGGUGAGCGGCGGACGGGUUAGUAACGCGUGGGAACCUGCCUUUAGGUUCGGAAUAACUCAGAGAAAUUUGAGCUAAUACCGGAUAAUGUCUUCGGACCAAAGAUUUAUCGCCUUUAGAUGGGCCCGCGUUGGAUUAGAUAGUUGGUGGGGUAAUGGCCUACCAAGCCUACGAUCUAUAGCUGGUUUGAGAGGAUGAUCAGCCACACUGGGACUGAGACACGGCCCAGACUCCUACGGGAGGCAGCAGUAGGGAAUCUUAGACAAUGGGCGCAAGCCUGAUCUAGCCAUGCCGCGUGUGUGACGAAGGCCUUAGGGUCGUAAAGCACUUUCGCCAGGGAUGAUAAUGACAGUACCUGGUAAAGAAACCCCGGCUAACUCCGUGCCAGCAGCCGCGGUAAUACGGAGGGGGUUAGCGUUGUUCGGAAUUACUGGGCGUAAAGCGCGCGUAGGCGGGCUGUUAAGUUAGGGGUGAAAUCCCGGGGCUCAACCCCGGAACUGCCUUUAAUACUGGCAGCCUAGAGUUCGAGAGAGGUGAGUGGAAUUCCGAGUGUAGAGGUGAAAUUCGUAGAUAUUCGGAGGAACACCAGUGGCGAAGGCGGCUCACUGGCUCGAUACUGACG
rnacentral:rRNA from 1 species